AGGGUUCGAUUAUGGCUCAGAACGAACGUUAGCGGUGUGGAUAAGGCAUGCAAGUCGUGCGCGAAAGCCUUCGGGCGAGUAAAGCGGCGAACGGGUGAGUAACACGUAAUCAACCUACCCCUCAGAUCGGGAUAACAACUGGAAACGGUUGGUAAUACCGAAUGGUCCCAAAUGGCGGCAUCGUCAUAUGGGUAAAUGGCGGCUUCGGCUGUUGUUGAGGGAGGGGAUUGCGGACUAUUAGCUUGUUGGUGGGGUAAUGGCCUACCAAGGCGAUGAUGGUUAGCCGGUCUGAGAGGACGACCGGUCACACUGGGACUGAGACACUGCCCAGACUCCUACGGGAGGCUGCAGUCGAGAAUCUUCCGCAAUGGGCGCAAGCCUGACGGAGCGACACCGCGUGCAGGAUGAAGGCCUUCGGGUUGUAAACUGCUGUCACGCUAUAGGAACCGCUAAGUAUUAAUAGUGCUUGGUCUGACUAAAGCGAGAGGAAGUACCGGCUAACUCCGUGCUAGCAGCCGCGGUAAUACGGAGGGUACAAACGUUGUUCGGAAUCACUGGGCAUAAAGCGCGCGUAGGCGGUCUACCCAGUUAGGUGUGAAAGCCCUCGGCUCAACCGAGGAAUUGCAUCUAAUACUAGUAGGCUUGAGGAUGGUAGGGGUGUGUGGAACUUCAGGUGGAGCGGUGAAAUGCGUAGAUAUCUGAAGGAACACCUGUGGCGAAAGCGGCACACUGGAUCAUUUCUGACGCUGAGGCGCGAAAGCUAGGGUAGCGAACGGGAUUAGAUACCCCGGUAGUCCUAGCCGUAAACGAUGGGCACUAGGUAAGGGGAGAACCUGUUUCUCUCUUUGCCGUAGCUAAUGUGUUAAGUGCCCCGCCUGGGGAGUACGGUCGCAAGACUAAAACUCAAAGGAAUUGACGG
rnacentral:rRNA from 1 species